UGGAGCAUAAGCUUUCGUGGGUGAAUGCCCACUUCAUCAGAUGCAAGACUUAAGUGUUACUGCAAUUCCUUCUGAUAAGGGCAAUUUCUACCAUUUGGGGCAGUGGAGAUACUGUUGCUCCUGACAUUUGAGUCUGUUUCACUGUCUCCCUUGUUCUCAGACAACAGUUACUGAGUUUGACAGCUAUCACUUCUCCCUGAAUUGUUUUAAAGUUAAGCAAUGAAAACUUAGAUUUUAAUGUUUGGGAUUCUGUUUAUCAGUUAGAUAAGAGACCUGACAUUUAUUACCCUUAUCAGCAUAGAUUGCAUGAGGAUUCCCUACACUACAAGUCAAUUACCUAGCUAGUAAAGCAUUAACUUUCUUUUCUUGACUUUACAGGUGCAAACAACCAAAAGAGCGGAUCCCAAUGAGCUACGGAACAUAUUUUUGCAGAGAGCAAAAGCUUAAAGGAACAAAACAAAGGAGAAGUUGAAAUGGAGAGCAGGAGGGACACAGAUCUCUUUAGGACAGUGUUUAUCUAAUUUCCUGGUGAACCUCCAUUUUUUUUUCUUAGAGGAGAUGCAGUUAAAUGUGGAAAGUAUCUGGUUGAAUGAGUCCCUGUCGGUUGAACCCAAAAUGGAACUGAAUCAGCAAGAAGGAAAAAGGAACGUUACCCUUUUCUAUUUAUUUAAAACGCAGUACCAUUUUUUUCCAUUAAAAGUCCAUUUUCUCAAAUCCAUUGCACCUGAUUUAAUGAGAAUGAUGAGAGGGAUACCAGUGAAUUUUUUCUUCUGUAAAAGAUAAAAUUUGGAGGGCUAGGGGAAAUAUUAGUUUAGGUUGAAAACCAAUGUGAUGACAUCUAACUGUAUGUUAAAAAGACAGACUGUGCUUAGCUUAGACAUGUUAUGUUGUGGUGAUAGAAAACAAGAUGUUCAAAUUAAUUAAAUGCUCAGUUUUGAAUUAUC